GGUGAGGGUGCAGGACACGUUUGCAGAUACUGUGUGUGCAGUGAGAGAGUGUGCAGAAAACAGCACUGGAGCAUCGCCGAAGAGGAAGCAAACAGCACUAUGAGGGAACCUGGCCUAGUCUGCCCUUCAGAUCAUCUCCAACAAUGGCCUUGAGCACAUAAGCUCCAGCUCAGAUAGAACUUGAGAGUUUUGAGGAUCAAUGGAGGAUGCAUCUCCACAAUUUAUAAGGAGCCAGGAGCCUGCUAGGAAGACCUCACGCUCAGACAAGAGUGAGCAGGGACACAGGCUUGAAAGAGGCAAAGAAAGGGAAAUGAUUUGAAAUAUUCCUUGGACUUGGUCACCAGAAGAUUUUCUCUUCUGCUCAGAGCACAUUCCUGAGUUGACUGCAAGUUGAUCAGCAAAAGGCGAGAAUGCAGGGCAGGACCAAGAGGUGCUUAGCAUCGGCAGAGUACCCUGAGAGUGGAUGCUGGUGGUCCUUCUGCAACUGUUGCGAAUAACCCCAGAGCCCAGGAUGCAGCCUCUCACUGCCCUUCCUGACAGGGGCCAUCUGUAAGCAUCUUUCCAAUGGAAGAAGCAGGUCAUGAUUUGAGAAGAGACAGAUCUUUUCUUUGCUUUUGUCAUCUGGGUGACUAUAAGCCUUACAGACAUCUCCAUGGCACCCCAAGACCUGAACAUGAAGCAAGCAGAUUCUGUUUUGCAGGUGAAGGAUCUGGGGCAGAAGAGGGAGAACAUUCUCCCUGGUUCCUUGCAGCAGGAGGAAAGAAAAACUUUUCCAAGUGCCUUUUGUGUGCCAUGAACUGUGCUAUGAAUUUCAUGCACCAUACUAUUAAUAGUUCGCAACUGUGGUACACUUCCUAUAUGUCAGGAACACUUUCUGUAUAUCCAUAUGUCUAUGGGACACUUUGUAUGUGUCACUUUUAUAUACAUCAUCUCAGUUAAUCCAUUCAACAACCUUAUUUGAUAAGUACCAUUAUCGCCUCCACAAUUGAAGCUUAUAACAUUUGAGUGACUUGCUGAAGGUCACACAGCUACCACAUGACAGAGAGGGAUUUCAAAUCCAGGGAUGCCAGCCCCAAAGUCCCAAUUCUUUGCAUUACACCACCUCACCUACUGUGCUUGACCCCCUAGUCCAGUGUUUCUACUUCCUGAACCCCAUCUAACACAAGAACAGAGGCUGGUAUUUUAAAGGAAUUAGUAUUUUUCACUACUCUUUUCCCUAGAAACAACCCUGUAUUAUCAACUAAUAUUCCACAUUUUCUGAGCUUCAACUUCAUCCCAGGCACUGUGCUAGAUGCCGCCACAUUAUGUUACAUGAGAGAUGAUACAGAAUUUUGAGAACAGCCAAUACAUGACCCCACACUUAGCAGACAUGCCUAAUUAAUCAGGACACUCGUUCUGGGUGAGUCUAAAUGCAGCCUCAGAGUCUUUCCCAACACAGAGGUGCAAGAAACUUCUGAAAUCAACCAGCAUCAGCACACACUAGAUGAAGCCUAUUGGCCCUUCCUGCUGUAGAAUUCCACGGGCAGAAAUGACAGUGACAUGGCCACAAGGAAUAAUGGGAUGGAAUCUUUUGAGCAGAAGUUCUGAGAUCAAAGCCUUGUUCUACUCAAAGCCUUGUUCACUAGCUGGGCACCAGCAGGAUGGUUGGAUGCAGAAUUGUUGGUGACAGUGAGAAGCAAGAGACCAUAAGACGAAAAGCCUGGAGUAAGGGUACUGGCAAGAGACAAGAAAAUGAGAGAACACAGAAUAUAGAUUUGUGCCUGGGAAAUAGCCGAAGAUUUUCUACAAAGGGGUUGUGUUGGGGGUGGUGUGACUUCAAGGUCUUAAUGUCCUGUGUUAUACCACAGGGUUUAUUAUAGGUAAUGGUGGUGGCUUCGUGAGUAAGUGAUGGGGCUAAGCCAUGACCCUAGAGCUACCCAAGCAGGACAGCAUGGCAGAAACAGGCAGGCUGGGGAGCUCCUGGUGUGAUCACACACUAUCUGUGUGAUCUUGGGCAAGUCCUUUAACCUCUCUGAGGAUCAGUUCCAUCCCCUGAGAAAUGAAGACAACGAUCUGCUUCAUGGUAAAGAUUAAACAAGAUAGCUCCAGACACAUAGUGGGUAAUUUUCCAUCAUGGUACAAGGAGGAGCUGACAGUAGGCUCUGCAUGUAUCUUUUGCGCUGAGAUCACACAACACGGCAGCUGGCACAAAGUAGGUGCUCAUCAGCAUUUAUGGGUUAGUUGUUUGGUUGAUUGGGUACCACUUAGGAAGUCACUGAAAGGCUUUAAGCAGAGGGAGAACAUGAUGGGAUUUAAAAUUUUGAGGACAUCACUCUCUCUGCUUUGGGGUGAAGAGGGUAGGCGGACAGGCAUGGGAACAGGAAGCCCACUUUGUUGCCCUCCUCCAGGACAGAGACCACGUGGACAGGAGGUCCGGACUCAGUGGAAGAACAGGGUCCUGAGCAAGUGGGAGGGCUGGAGACUGGGAUGUUCAGAACUAAGAUUUCUGAUGAGGUGCUUUUUCUGGUGGUGACAAGAUGCAGGGUGUAAGCAAGGCGGGGGUGGCUAAGAUGCCAUGUGAUAAAAGGCUGGUGAUGAUUGGAAGCUGGAGAAAUUGAGAAGCCGGAAUGUGGAUGUGUCACUCUUCAUGGACAGUGUCUUAUUUCCUUCUCGAAGCAAAGCUGCUGCGUUGGCACGAUUGCCCUCCUUUGACAGAUGAUGAAGGAGAGACUUAAAACAUUCACAAGCAUAUAUUACACUGGGGGGAUGUGGGAAUUCAGGCACUUGUUUAUAGACUCAAUAAGUGCGAAGGAUUUAUGGUUUGUGAAAAACUUGCACUGUGGAAAAGAUAAUAAAUUGAAGGCAUUAUUGUGUGGGACUGUGCUGAUUUUUGUUGAUAACACUCCACUAAGAACACUAUAUGUUUUCUGGAGAGCUGUGGAAGCUGCCUUCUUGCUUAACUGCAA